CCAAAGUUGCCAAGUUCUUUCACCCUUUCUGGAACCUGCAGAGAUGCAUUGUCAGCAAUAGAAAUUGAGAAAGGGAUAGAAGAUAGAAAAUUUUGACAGAAGAUAACUUCACUGCAGCAUCAGACAUUCUUCCAGUCCGCUUUCCUUUUCCCUUGAGGAUAAAACCCCUGCCUCUCAAAAAAAUAUAUAUA